rnacentral:rRNA from 1 species
UACGUAGGGUCCGAGCGUUGUCCGGAAUUACUGGGCGUAAAGAGCUCGUAGGUGGUUUGUCGCGUUGUUCGUGAAAACUCACAGCUCAACUGUGGGCGUGCGGGCGAUACGGGCAGACUAGAGUACUGCAGGGGAGACUGGAAUUCCUGGUGUAGCGGUGGAAUGCGCAGAUAUCAGGAGGAACACCGGUGGCGAAGGCGGGUCUCUGGGCAGUAACUGACGCUGGGGAGCGAAAGCGUGGGGAGCGAACAGG